rfam:Salimicrobium jeotgali strain MJ3 Contig6, whole genome shotgun sequence.
AGUAUCUUUCGGGGUCAGGUGAAAUUCCUAGCCGGCGGUAAUGGAGUAACGUCCUCAGCCCGCGACGGGGAAGAGCGUAUUCCCCCUGAUUUGGUGAAAUUCCAAAGCCGACAGUUAAAGUCUGGAUGGGAGAAAGAUUAU